UACGUAGGUGGCAAGCGUUAUCCGGAAUUAUUGGGCGUAAAGAGCGCGCAGGUAGUUAAUUAAGUCUGAUGUGAAAGCCCACGGCUUAACCGUGGAGGGUCAUUGGAAACUGGUUGACUUGAGUGCAGAAGAGGGAUGUGGAAUUCCAUGUGUAGCGGUGAAAUGCGUAGAGAUAUGGAGGAACACCAGUGGCGAAGGCGGCUUCCUGGUCUGCAACUGACACUGAGGCGCGAAAGCGUGGGGAGCAAACAGG
rnacentral:rRNA from 1 species